UAUGGCUCAGAGGUAGAGUGUGUGCUUAGCAUACACAAGGUCCUGGGUUCAGUCCCCAGUA
rnacentral:tRNA from 1 species